AUGUGGACUGAAGGACCUCUGCACUGCCUGGUCAAAGACGGGAGGAUUUUAUCAUCUCUCCAGUUUUAUCUAUGGGACAGCAGCUGCAAAUUUGGGCUAUGCUGGACAGAGACUUACCCACCUACCAGCCUCAGGAUGUGGCAGCAUGUCCUCCUGCCCGCCGCUCCCUCUCUGCACAGCGGGCUGCUUCCGCCUGCAAUUGAGUCAAAUGAAACCUACUUCUCUGGCACUGUUUCCAGCAUGUUUGUUGUCACUGGAGCUGCAUGGUGCGGUAAGACCGGGCAGAGCAAUAAGAUCAGGCAUUGCAGUGGCUUCCGCUUGAUGCAGGACACACAGGUACAUACAAGAUAAAAGCUAAAUUCAUCACCAACAAUGCAACAACCCUGGCUGGGACUGUAGGAGGAAAAGUAAAUUCUGAAAGAUGAGCAGGACAACGUCCCCUGAACCCCUGCAGACAUCAGCUCAGGUGCUGUGUAAUCAAAAUGUUCUCUGCUUCUGGGGGGACAAGCAAAAAGAAAAUAAAUUUUCUGAACAGCGUGAACA
rnacentral:lncRNA from 1 species